CGUAGGCGGACUGAUAAGUCAGUGGUGAAAUCCGACAGCUUAACUGUCGAACUGCCAUUGAUACUGUUAGUCUUGAGUAAGGUUGAAGUGGCUGGAAUAAGUAGUGUAGCGGUGAAAUGCAUAGAUAUUACUUAGAACACCAAUUGCGAAGGCAGGUCACUAAGUCUUAACUGACGCUGAUGGACGAAAGCGUGGGGAGCGAACAGGAUUA
rnacentral:rRNA from 1 species